rnacentral:rRNA from 1 species
AAGGGGGGAUCGCAAGACCUCUCACUAUUGGAGCGGCCGAUAUCGGAUUAGCUAGUUGGUGGGUAAAGGCCUACCAAGGCGACGAUCCGUAGCCGGUUUGAGAGGACGACCAGCCACACUGGGACUGAGACACGGCCCAGACUCCUACGGGAGGCAGCAGUGGGGAAUUUUGGACAAUGGGGGAAACCCUGAUCCAGCCAUUCCGCGUGUGCGAUGAAGGCCUUCGGGUUGUAAAGCACUUUUGGCAGGAAAGAAAUCGUGUGGGUUAAUACCCUGCGCGGAUGACGGUACCUGCAGAAUAAGCACCGGCUAACUACGUG